AAAGAGAAUUUUAACUCUUAUUUAUUGUUUGAGUAAAGAAUAUAUGUAAAUUUUUGUAGGAGAGAAGAGAUUUUAAAUAGAAUUUGGGUUUGUAGUCGCAGUAUAGAGAAUUAUUUAUUUAGGGGACUGAGAAAUAGUUAUUUCAAGAGUAUAGACAAAGUUUGUGCCAGCAGUUGCGGUUAAACAAAUUGUACAAUAAUAAAUGUGUAGGAUGAGAUAAAUGUUUAAAGGAGGGAUUAAGAAGAUUAUUUCAAAGGUGAAAUUAGGAAAUUUUAUUGAGAUUUAGAAAAAUUUAUUUUAUCUAAGAAAACUUUAUUUUAGACUAGGAUUAGAUACCCUAUUAUAGAAGAGGUACAAAAUUACUAGAUUAGUAGAGGAUAUAUUUUUGAAAAUUAUAGAAGUUGGCGGUUUCUUAGUCUAUUCAGAGGAGCCUGUCCUGUAAAUGAUAAUCCACGAUAAAAUUUUCUUGUUUUAGAGAUUUACAUAUCGCCGUAGGUGGAGUAUUUUUUUAGAAGGUUAAUAGUCAAGAUUUUUAAUGAGAGGAUUUCAGGUCAAGAUGUAGUUUAUAGAUAAGGAGAGAUGGGUUACAAUAAAUGGAUUUAUAUGGAUAAAAGUUUGAAAAAGUUUUUGAAGGUGGAUUUGAUAGUAAGUUGAAGAAUUUACUUUAGUUGAUUAGGGCUCUAAGAUAUGCACAUAUCGCCCGUCGCUUUCGUUUAAAAUGAAAUAAGUCGUAACAUAGUAGAUGUACUGGAAAGUGUAUCUAGAAAGA
rnacentral:ncRNA from 1 species